UACGUAGGGUGCGAGCGUUGUCCGGAAUUAUUGGGCGUAAAGAGCUUGUAGGCGGUUUGUCGCGUCUGCCGUGAAAAUUCGAGGCUCAACCUCGAACUUGCGGUGGGUACGGGCAGACUAGAGUGUGGUAGGGGAGACUGGAAUUCCUGGUGUAGCGGUGAAAUGCGCUGAUAUCAGGAGGAACACCGAUGGCGAAGGCAGGUCUCUGGGCCACUACUGACGCUGAGAAGCGAAAGCAUGGGGAGCGAACAGG
rnacentral:rRNA from 1 species